UUGCUUCAGCGCAGCACAUAUCUAAAAAUUAGAAUAGCAGAAAUUAGCCUGACCCCUGGUUGCAAAGAUGACAUGCCAAAUUUGUGAAACAUUCCCUAUUUUU
rnacentral:snRNA from 1 species